CACAUGCAGUCGACGGUGAAGCAGAGCUUGCUCUGUGGAUCAGUGGCGAACGGGUGAGUAACACGUGAGCAACCUGCCCCUGACUCUGGGAUAAGCGCUGGAAACGGCGUCUAAUACUGGAUAUGAGCUGCGAUCGCAUGGUCAGCAGUUGGAAAGAUUUUUCGGUCUGGGAUGGGCUCACGGCCUAUCAGCUUGUUGGUGAGGUAAUGGCUCACCAAGGCGUCGACGGGUAGCCGGCCUGAGAGGGUGACCGGCCACACUGGGACUGAGACACGGCCCAGACUCCUACGGGAGGCAGCAGUGGGGAAUAUUGCACAAUGGGCGAAAGCCUGAUGCAGCAACGCCGCGUGAGGGAUGACGGCCUUCGGGUUGUAAACCUCUUUUAGCAGGGAAGAAGCGAAAGUGACGGUACCUGCAGAAAAAGCGCCGGCUAACUACGUGCCAGCAGCCGCGGUAAUACGUAGGGCGCAAGCGUUAUCCGGAAUUAUUGGGCGUAAAGAGCUCGUAGGCGGUUUGUCGCGUCUGCUGUGAAAUCCCGAGGCUCAACCUCGGGUCUGCAGUGGGUACGGGCAGACUAGAGUGCGGUAGGGGAGAUUGGAAAUUCCUGGUGUAGCGGUGGGAAUGCGCAGAUAUCAGGAGGAACACCGAUGGCGAAAGGCAGAUCUCUGGGCCGUUACUGACGCUGAGGAGCGAAGGGUGGGGGGAGCAAACAGGCUUAGAUACCUGGUAGUCCACCCCGUAACGUGGACUAGUUGKGGGUCAUCACGGAUUCGUGACGCAGCUACGCAUAAGUUCCCUCGCUGGGGAGUACGGCCGCAGCUAACUCAAGAUUGACUGCAUCGCAAGCGGCGACAUGCGAAUAUUCGAUGC
rnacentral:rRNA from 1 species